rnacentral:rRNA from 1 species
UACGGAGGGAACUAGCGUUGUUCGGAUUUACUGGGCGUAAAGGGCGCGUAGGCGGUUUAUUAAGUUAGAAGUGAAAGCCCGGGGCUUAACCUCGGAACUGCUUCUAAAACUGAUAAGCUAGAGUGUGGGAGAGGAUAAUGGAAUUCCUAGUGUAGAGGUGAAAUUCUUAGAUAUUAGGAGGAACACCAGUGGCGAAAGCGAUUAUCUGGAACACAACUGACGCUGAGGCGCGAAAGCGUGGGGAGCAAACAGG